AACAUACAUAAAACCCAGUUUCUCUAUUUUAAUCCAUCACAUUUGGAAUUAAAAACUAGUUUAAAUAAUGUCUUGGAAUUAUAACAAAGUUCUAAGGUGAAUUUUUGUUUUGGCACCAUUAUGAGUAGACACAGCACAAGAGAAAAGUUCAGCUCAGUGGUUCUCGAAAUGCAGUCUCUGGAUUAACAUUUGCCCAACUGGGAACUUAGAAGUGCAAAGUAUACCUGUGGAUUCGACUCUGACCUACUGAAUAAGCAGCUCUGCAGGACUGACAAUCAUUGAAGAGCAAUCUCUGGAUUUAAAAAAAAACAAACAAAUACAGUAAAGGAUAUGCUGAGAGGCUUUAGGGAUGUAAAAUAAAUGAUGAGGAGACUGACAACCGGAGAGGAGCGAGCGAUGACUUUACUCGAGCUGUAACCCUGGCCUCUGAUCUGUGUGAUACUUCAUGUUGGGGGUACAGAGACAUGAGGUACAGCUUCUGCCCUCAAGACACUCUGACACAUGCCAGAAAGAAAAAUGCUGCUAUCGUGGGAUGAAUUCAAGUUCAAAGCACAUGGAAUUGCUAUGGAGAAGGAACUAUGCCCAAGAUAUAUACAAGGGAAGCUUUAUAAGGGAGAAGACAUUUGCGUUGCAUCCUAAAGAAUGAACAGCAUUUCUUCAGAGAGAAAGCUCUACCCAGUGCCUUUUACAACACUUGACAGGCCUGGACAAGCACUUACAGUUGAUGUGCCAAAUGGAAUUAUUAGAUCAUAGGAUAACAAACGAAAAUAAGGGGAAAAAUUUCUAUAUAAAUAUGUUGCCUCUCGCCUUGUUUCUAGGAACAAAAAAGAAAAAGAAAUGACAUCUAUUUCCAAUAACAGGAUGAUGAGUCACUACAAUCAACGUUUAGACUGUCCCUAUGAAGCCCUGUGUUGCUGUAUCCAGUGCCGGUGAGCGCGAGAGGGCACAGGACUGAGGUGGAGACGCGGCAGGAACCUGACCUGGAAGGCAGGGCCGUGGGGCACGGCGGGGUGACACAGACAAGAAGAGCAGUGCCAUCCGGCGGGACAGCCCCACUCAGAACCCGGGCCACAGAGACCAGAACCCUGAAAACUUGGAGCCUUGUUCCUGUAAAGACUUCUGGAGGUCCUCAAUCUGCUGCUGCAAUUCUCGGAUUCGCUCUCUGCUCAGUCUAUCAUAAGAUAAAUCACAUGUGCUUAUUUGUA